UUCCUUCACUCUGAUUCGAACAGAGAAUACAACCUCAUGAGGGUCGUGUGAUAACCAUUUCACUAUGAAGGA
rnacentral:tRNA from 1 species